CACUUUGAAUUAAAAUAUAUAUAUUGCAGC
rnacentral:piRNA from 1 species